UUGACCAAAAUCUUUCAAAUGUCUUGUGGUCUCUUUCACUUCAGCAUUGCUUUAAAGUUUAAACAAAUUUCAGCAUAGUUCAUUCUAUACUAACAAAUUUGCUUUGAAUGCAUUAUAAGAAACAACAACAUAUUGUUUAAUGAAAACUGUUUUAGUUCCUGUUUUGGUAAAUUUCCAACCUUGGCUCCUCUAGUUAUUUUAUAUUACUUCAGCUUUAGAUUUAAUACAAUGAUUAUUUUUGCGUUGUUAAACAAUGAUUUGUUUAAGGCUGAUGGAGUCAUGGAACUCUGGAUUAUUAUCUUAGUUUUUGCUGAAAUCUCGAGUAGAGGUAAUUCCGGCCAUAUAAGACUGGAACGUUGGUGCACCUUAUAUUUUGACGCUGGACAAUCCCUCAAAUAGGUUCCAGAAGAAGGAACUAGGUAUUGUUAUUUGAAGUUAACUUGAAGUGCUAGUGACUUGAAGGUAUUUUGGUCAUCCGUGGAGAAUGACAUUUUGGUUAGACACUUAGUUAAUCCCCUCUAAAACUCUUGGCUCUUGAUACAUGUGUCUUUUGAUGAAAAUGUUGUGUAUGAUGUAUUUUAAGUCUUGAAGUCUUGACUCUUAUGAUGGAUUGAAGUGUAAAUCAUUUUGGAGUCAAAUUGGCCAUUUCGUCACUUUGGGUAAAUGCGGGCGAGUGACCCGUUUGGUCGUUUUAAUGUAAAUUUCAAUGGUUAAGGUUUCGGAUGUAUCCAUUAUGUUGUAAUAAGUGAUUUUACUC